rnacentral:rRNA from 1 species
CCUCACCUGGCUAACAGAUGAGCCUAGGUCGGAUUAGCUAGUAGGUCGAGUGAGAGAGUGGGCUCACCUAGGCGACGAUCCGUAACUGGUCUGAGAGGAUGAUCAGUCACACUGGAACUGAGACACGGUCCAGACUCCUACGGGAGGCAGCAGUGGGGAAUAUUGGACAAUGGGCGAAAGCCUGAUCCAGCCAUGCCGCGUGUGUGAAGAAGGUCUUCGGAUUGUAAAGCACUUUAAGUUGGGAGGAAGGUCUGUAAGCUAAUACCUUGCAGUUUUGACGUUACCAACAGAAUAAGCACCGGCUAACUUCGUGCCAGCAGCCGCGGUAAUACGAAGGGUGCAAGCGUUAAUCGGAAUUACUGGGCGUAAAGUGUGUGUAGGUGGUUCAGCAAGUUGGAUGUGAAAGCCCCGGGCUCAACCUGGGAACUGCAUCCAAAACUACUGAGCUAGAGUACGGUAGAGGGUGGUGGAAUUUCCUGUGUAGCGGUGAAAUGCGUAGAUAUAGGAAGGAACACCAGUG